rnacentral:rRNA from 1 species
GUCUAUGGCCAUGCCACCCUGAACACACCCUGAUCUCGGAAGCUAAGCAGGGUUGGGCCUGGUUAGUACUUGGAUGGGAGACUGCCUAGGAAUACCGGGUGCUGUAGGCU